rnacentral:rRNA from 1 species
AUACGGAGGGUGCAAGCGUUACUCGGAAUCACUGGGCGUAAAGCGCGCGCAGGCGGCUUGAUAAGUUGGAUGUGAAAGCCUACGGCUCAACCGUAGAACUGCAUCCAAAACUGUCAGGCUAGAGUGUGGGAGAGGAAGAUGGAAUUAGUUGUGUAGGGGUAAAAUCCGUAGAGAUAACUAGGAAUACCAAAAGCGAAGGCAAUCUUCUGGAACACUACUGACGCUGAGGCGCGAAGGCGUGGGGAACAAACAGGAUUAGAAACCCCAGUAGUCC